UAAUUUUAGUUUCUUAAGUGGGUUUAGUCAAAGUGUACAGAUAAGAUGUAAUGACUACACUGUGACUAAACUCACUUUAGAAACUAAAAC
rnacentral:pre_miRNA from 1 species